rnacentral:lncRNA from 1 species
UUAUCUUGCCCAUAAGCUCCUAAUCAAAGCCCAGCCAUCACAAACAACAAAUCAGAAGCAUCAAAGCCAAAAAAAUCAAAAAUCGAAGCUAGAAAAGGUAUGAAAUUCCCUAAUUUUGAAAUCCUUCGAUUCGAUGUUAAUUGAUGCAAUUGAUUGUUUAAAGUUGUGUAAUAGGGAGUCUAUUAAUGUUCUGGGUUGAUAAAUCAUGAACCCAUAACAUCAAAGUGCACGAAUUUGAAGAUUUGAGCAAGUUGGAAAAAAACCGGAUUCUGUGAUUUUUUAUCAAAUGUCAG